rnacentral:lncRNA from 1 species
AGAAUAUCAGCACCAGCUCUCUGUCCGGACUGCACAAAGGCUCUCGUGAGAUAUUGCUGGAAAAUCGAGUAAAAGGAAACCGGAAAGCUAUAGAACGCAUCGCAGGCUAAGGGAAACGUGUCUUUUCGACUGUUUUGCCGUUUCCCCCUCCUGGCGUACAGUUCCUUCAAAGCUGUGUCCCUGACUUGCUGACAAAACCUUUGUUUUCCUCCCACUGACCGAGCAUAUCAUAAAAGUGAGACCAUCUGCAGCAUGCAGAAUGAGGAAAGCUUAUGCUAAGAUAAACAGACUUCUUUUUUUUUAACCUUUUAAGGGAGUUAUGCUUCUAACAAUGUGCUAACUGUGCUAUCUAAUUCUGCUCCGUUGUUCAAGAAUGAGGUUUGAGGCAACCACAUCACACUGGGAAACCAUGGCAGCUGUGUGCGUCCCGUACAAGCAGAAUCAUAAGCUAGAUAGAUACUACAACAAUCCCAAAGUGAGAGCAAGCAGAGAGCAAACUUUUGCAUUAUUCAUUCUGCAAUUCUGUUCAAUUCAGACACUAUUGACAGGCACAGGGAAGGGCAGAGAAGUACAAUGGACAUGGAGACCCAUGGACCAAACAUUUGAAUGCCAUAAACUACUGGUUCUUCCUUUGAAGCAGAGCUUUGCUUCUAUGAGGACCAGAAGCAUGGUUUGUCCUUGCUAGCUAGCUAUUUAUUUGCUUGUUUCUACCCUGCCUUUCUUCUUAAAAGAAUCCAUUAAAAGACAAGGUAAAAGCUAACAACAGUGAGUACAGAAAUACUGAAAAAGACCAAACAAAUACUAUAUAAAAAACGUAAGCAGCAAAGGAAAGCAGAGAUUUUUGCAAAGCAGUGAAGUCCUCCCUGCUUCUCUAUUAAUCACAGGCUCUCCACAGUACUAAUCACAUGAGAAAAUAACCAGCGGAGCUCAUGCCAAGGAAACGUUGCCUUCCCUCCCUCCCCUUAAACUGGUUUCUAAAUGCCACCUCUCACAAGCUUUCUGGCAGAGUUAUUAUGAAUUACGGCGUCAGAGAGAGGAGGCUGCAAAAGUCCAAGGCGCCAAACGAAGAGAGGAGCUGGCAAAAUGGGGGCUUCUGUGUUGAUCCUCUAGGCCAGGUGUCUCCGCUCCCACUGGCUACAGAGGUCCAGCCCUUGAAUCGAAGAAAUCUCUCCCAGGAGAUGCCAGGGACUCUGCCCCAAGCGAUGAGCCCUCCCUUACUACACAGGGAGCUACACAAUGAGAUGAACAGCCUACAGGGAGAUGUGUACACAUUGUCAACACUUUGACUGCAUCCACCCCUCUGGUUAGGACAUGAUCAGCUCAUUCACGAAGGAAUCCUGCAUCCACUGCAAACAAUGACUGAAAGGGAUGUCUUGUCCGGCAAGGGUACUCCAGAGGAGAAAAGGCAAAGGUAUUGCCAAUCCCUCUUUAGCCACAUUAUGCACACCUUUCACAGUUUUUUCUCAACAAUUUCCUGCCAGUUGGGUGUGUUAAUUUCUUAUAGGAGGCUUGUAAAUAGAUGCCCAUGGUCUACCAAACACAAAAUCUGCCUGAAUGCAUGAGGAUCAGAACAGCCUCUAAAACAGCCUCUUCCCAGAGGUCCUCAAGGUGGCCCAUAAGCUGGCCUUGUUGCCCUCUGCCCUCCCCACCGUCUACCAAGCCCUCCACACUAGCUGCACGAAUGACCCCAAUCACAAACACAAGAACCUGAAGUUCCAGAAGACUCAAGAAGAAGUCGUUGCUCACAUCCCACUGUAAACCAUUUCAGAGGAUGCAUGCGUAGCCGUAUACUGGCCGUGUCUGCAUUCACUGGAGAUUCAACAGCCUCAGAAAGACAAAUCAGGCCUAAAUCAGAAUCCAAGGCAAGCCAGAGAGGCAGCAUCAAACAUUUCUGAUGGUCCCCUAACAUGACAUUUAAAACUCGAAACCUACACUUGGGUGAUUUUCUAAUGACUCCAACAUUUCUACGAAGGAGAUACAGAACAGUGCUCUGAAGGUGUUCUUGGACUACAACUCCCAGAAAUCCUGGCCAGCAUGGCUCACGGCAAAGACGUCUGGGAGUUUCAGUCCAAGAACGUCCAUGGUUUGGAACCCUUGGUCUAUAUAAUGAAGGAUGCAUCUUGGAGAAAGGCCAGCGAUAAACCCAAAAUGCCUAGAGGACACAGCUAGAUGCAAGUCAGUGACUUUGAUCUGCAGCUCAGUCGUAGCUAUGAAGCACAGAGGGAUUUCUCAAGCGUGAGAAUUGACAUGCCAGAUCAUUUAUUAGCAGUUUGCUGAAGUACUGUUAUUGAAUUGCAUUUCACACACACACACUAGUCCUCGUAAAACAGCAUAUAAUAAAACAGAUUAAAAACAUCA